UUAUAUAUAUAUAUAUAUAUAUUGCUGCUCUAAAAUUGAAAAUGCUGUCUCAUUUCAUCCCAAUGCAUCAUCAUGGAAGCAAUAUCAACUUGGAGUCAAUUAAUCGCCUGUCGCCAUGUUCAGUUGUUUCCUUCUAAUACAAGUAAGAAGCUAGUUAUUUCUCCCGUGUUAACUAGUUUUAUUUAUGCAUACAGAUAUGAUUAGCAGAUAGUGAAAGCUGAAGUUUGUAAUGUGGCAAUCUUAUAUACAUUUGCAUUUUUGGUUUUAAUUCAGUUCUUGGAAUGCUUGCUAAUGCACAUUGACGAGUGUUAUAAUUUGGAGUAUAUGACUGAGAAAAUAU
rnacentral:misc_RNA from 1 species